rnacentral:piRNA from 1 species
UGAUGAAUGUCCUGAAGAGUCGAAUGUA